CUGCGGAAGGAUCAUUACCUAGAGUUGUAGGCUUUGCCUGCUAUCUCUUACCCAUGUCUUUUAAGUACCUUCGUUUCCUCGGCGGGUUCGCCCGCCGAUUGGACAAUUUAAACCAUUUGCAGUUGCAAUCAGCGUCUGAAAAAACUUAAUAGUUACAACUUUCAACAACGGAUCUCUUGGUUCUGGCAUCGAUGAAGAACGCAGCGAAAUGCGAUAAGUAGUGUGAAUUGCAGAAUUCAGUGAAUCAUCGAAUCUUUGAACGCACAUUGCGCCCCUUGGUAUUCCAUGGGGCAUGCCUGUUCGAGCGUCAUUUGUACCUUCAAGCUCUGCUUGGUGUUGGGUGUUUGUCUCGCCUCUGCGUGUAGACUCGCCUCAAAACAAUUGGCAGCCGGCGUAUUGAUUUCGGAGCGCAGUACAUCUCGCGCUUUGCACUCAUAACGACGACGUCCAAAAGUACAUUUUUACACUCUUGACCUCGGAUCAGGUAGGGAUACCCGCUGAACUUAAGCAUAUCA
rnacentral:rRNA from 1 species